rnacentral:lncRNA from 1 species
AAUUCAUUCACUCCCUCACUGUCUUUACCCACAAUCCUUUUCAUUACCUCCAUCGGUCUUAAAUAAAGCAUUCAUUGCUUGUCAGUUUGGAAGUCGACCCCGGUUCAAUAUUCAACUAAUAUACACUCAGAAUGGACUUAACAGGGAAGAAGUAGACUUCUUGUGUCAGACACACAGGAGAGUUUUUAUGCCCUAAUACACGUGUGGACGGUUUCUUCAAGAAGUCAUAUUUUGAUGUCGUGUCGAGAGUUGGAGGCGAUGCUUGUGGUGUUACAGCUGAGUGAGACGGUGCCAAGUCAGCGACGGAUCAGACGGCAUGUGAAACACACAGACAUUCAUUUGGUCUUCUGGCAGCUUUGGCAGCAAUCACUGGAAUGACCUGGCCUAAUGUAGCGAGGAGAUCAGCAGAGCACGGUGGAAAUCAUCCCGCACGCCGCCUGCCUCCCUCACACACAUGCGCACAGAGGCAGAAAACAUCUGCGACGGACUGAACAAAGAACCAGAGAGCCGAGUGUCCAAACUGGAUCAUCGACACGCUGAGGUGAAAAAACCAGCAGCGAUCUCGUGACGUUCGCUCGACUCCAGUCCUGUUAUUUUGUCUCUCUUUCCGUGUGGUGCAUUAUGGGCCCGGCUCAUACUUUCACCCCUGAGAAGCAGCUUUGAUUUGAUGGUAGGUGACUGAUGCUGUGAAAAGAGCCCGG